ensembl:lncRNA
UUUGGGUGGUUUUUGUUGUUGGGGGGGGGGGGGGGGAGGGGGGACAAAGUCUCUGAUCUCCCCUUAAUUUUGGAGGAGAGGGGCGUGGGGAUACAAUGGGGACAAAUGGGGACACGCGGGGGUGGUGAUGGGGACACAUCAAUGGUGGCCGUGGGGACAAAGGGACCAUCCCGGGUCACUGCAGCUUUGGUGGCCCCCCAUGGGGACACCAGGACCCUCUUAUAUGGCCAUGAUGGCUUUGGGGACACCAGGACCCCCUUACAUAGCCGUGGUGGCCUUGAGGACACCAGGACCCCCCCAUGGGGACACCAGGACCCCCUUAUACGGCUGUGGUGGCUUUGAGGACACCAGGCCCCCCCCAUGGGGACACCAGGACCCCCUUAUAUGGCCGUGGUGGCUUUGGAUACACCAGGACCCCCCCAGGGGACACCAGGACCCCUUUAUAUGGCCGUGGUGGCCUUGAGGACACCAGGACCCCUCCAUGGGGACACCAGGAACCCCCUUAUACAGCCAAGGUGGCUUUGGUUACACCAGGACCCACCCCCCAGGGGACACCAGGACCCCCUUAUAUGGCCGUGGUGGCUUUGGAUACACCAGGACCCCCCCAGGGCACACCAGGACCCCUUUAUAUUGCCAUGGUGGCUUUGGGGACACCAGGACCCCGCCAUGGGGACACCAGGACCCCCUUAUAUGGCCGUGGUGGCUUUGGGGACACCAGGACCCCUCCAUGGAGACACCAGGACCCCCUUAUAUGGCCUUGGUGGCUUUGGGGACAGCAGGACCCCCCCAGGGCACACCAGGACCCCCUUAUAUGGCCGUGGUGGCCUUGAGGACACCAGGACCCCCCCCAGGGGACACCAGGACCCCCUUAUAUGGCCGUGGUGGCUUUGGGGACACCAGGACCCCCCCAUGGGGACAGCAGGACCCCUUGGUGUGGUUGUGGUGGCUGUGGGGACAGCAGGACCCCCCCACCCGUUGUCCCCAUGCCGCCCCUGUGCCCGGUGGGGGCCCAAACCCCGUCCCCGUGUGGGUGAAACCACCGCGGGGCGCUUUCACUUUCACUUUGGUGGUGGGCGGGUGCAGGUGGGGAAGGUUCCACUUCCGGGUUGGCGUCAGGUAGGAGCGGGAAAGGUUCCACUUCCGGGUUGGCGACAGGUAGGAGCGGGAAAGGUUCCACUUCCGGGUUGGCGACAGGUAGGAGCGGGCGGGGAAGGCUGCACUUCCGGUUUGGCGGCAGACGGAGCUCCGGCUGUGCCGCGCCCAUGGCUCCCAGUACCACCAGUGCCACCACUGCUCCCAGUGCUCCCAGUACCACCAGUGCCUCCCACCCCCCCCGACCCCCGGCUCACACCACCCUUUCCCAGCGGCUGCAGUUCACCCCAUUGGCUCCCAGUUCCCCCCCCCGCUCCCAGUUUCCCCAGUAGGCCUCACUUCCCUCCCAGUGCCCCCCUCCCCGCCCUUCUUGCCACAUCCGCAGCGGC